UUUCGGUGUCUACUGUAGUUUCCCAAUUUUACCGGAUAAUAUUGAACAGUUAAUCAUGAACGCCAUUGCUUUAGCCUGGUCUCGGCUGUUGAGAAAUGACCGCUUCCUGGAGGUGUGGACUGUGCUGCGGUUUUGAAUUUGCCCAUGACUUAUGUAAUGCGCAACGCUAAGAAGCUAACCGGAAAUUGCCUGCGCUGUAAACCAUAGACAUCAAUGCUGUAAACAACCAUCCUCCCCAGCAAAGAGAGAAGCGUCGAUCCGAACGAGGGCGCUGUUAAUGUUAAUUCAAUGUUUGGAAGCGUGGCCAACGCGGACUGAACUGCUUCAUUCACUUCCUCCACUGCCAUUGCUGAACUACAGGAAGACUAUGAAACUCCAUACCAGUUUAACUUUGAAACGUAAAACGUUUGAGUAAUUCAGUCGUCAUUUUGGCAGAGAAGCAAUAUGGUUGAUCCAGUGAUGUGUAAAAGUCAACAAGGCUGGACUAAACUUACAAAGAAUUCCGUGGGUCAGCGGUUGACAUUGGCCUUCAUUGUCCCUUCUGACUGCAAAACUGUCUCUGUAUCGCUACUGCUACAAUGCAGCUCAGAAAAGGAAGACGACAGCUAACGAAGCCCAGUGGGAAGAAGGCGUUUACCUUGAUGGCAGUGGAAGCGAUCUGGAUGUGGUGCAGCUUGUGCAAGG